CCUACGGGAGGCAGCAGUGAGGAAUAUUGGUCAAUGGGCGGGAGCCUGAACCAGCCAAGUCGCGUGAGGGAAGACGGUCCUAUGGAUUGUAAACCUCUUUAGGCGGGGAGCAAGGCCGGGCACGCGUGCCCGGAGGGAGAGGACCCGCAGAAGAAGCAUCGGCUAACUCCGUGCCAGCAGCCGCGGUAAUACGGAGGAUGCGAGCGUGAUCCGGAUUUCUUGGGUUGAAAGGGUGCGUAGGCGGAUUUUUAAGUCAGCGGUAAUAUGUCCGGGCUCAACCCGGGCCGGCCGUUGAAACUGGGGAUCUUGAGUGGGCGAGAAGUAUGCGGAAUGCCUGGUGUAGCGGUGAAAUGCCUAGAUAUCACGCAGAACUCCGAUUGCGAAGGCAGCCUACCGGCGCCCGACUGACGCUGAGGCACGAAAGCGUGGGGAUCGAACAGGAUUAGAUACCCGGGUAGUC
rnacentral:rRNA from 1 species